UGGGGAAUAUUGGACAAUGGGCGAAAGCCUGAUCCAGCAAUGCCGCGUGAGUGAUGAAGGCCUUAGGGUUGUAAAGCUCUUUUACCCGGGAUGAUAAUGACAGUACCGGGAGAAUAAGCUCCGGCUAACUCCGUGCCAGCAGCCGCGGUAAUACGGAGGGGGCUAGCGUUGUUCGGAAUUACUGGGCGUAAAGCGCACGUAGGCGGCUUUGUAAGUUAGAGGUGAAAGCCCGGGGCUCAACCCCGGAAUUGCCUUUAAGACUGCAUCGCUUGAACGUCGGAGAGGUGAGUGGAAUUCCGAGUGUAGAGGUGAAAUUCGUAGAUAUUCGGAAGAACACCAGUGGCGAAGGCGGCUCACUGGACGACUGUUGACGCUGAGGUGCGAAAGCGUGGGGAGCAAACA
rnacentral:rRNA from 1 species